CUACUGCUGCCCCUGCUGUGGGCAGGUGAGUGGCUGUGGGGAGAGGGGUUGUCGGGCUGGGCCGAGCUGACCCUCGUUUCCCCACAGGGGCCCUGGCUAUGGAUCCAAAAAUCCGGCUGCAAGUGCAGGAGUCAGUGACGGUACAGGAGGGUUUGUGCGUCCUCGUGCCCUGCACUUUCUUCCAUCCCAUACCCUACUACGACAAGAAUUCCCCAGUUCAUGGUUACUGGUUCCGGGAAGGACCCAUUGUAUCCGGGGACUCUCCAGUGGCCACAAACAAGCCAGAUCAAGAAGUACAGGAGGAGACUCAGGGCAGAUUCCGCCUCCUUGGGGAUCUCAGUAGGAACAACUGCUCCCUGAGCAUCGUAGACGCCAGGAGGAGGGAUAAUGGUUCAUACUUCUUUCGGAUGGAGAGAGGAAGUACCAAAUACAGUUACAAAUCUCCCCAGCUCUCUGUGCAUGUGACAGACUUGACCCACAGGCCCAAAAUCCUCAUCCCUGGCGCCCUAGACCCCGGCCACUCCAAAAACCUGACCUGCUCUGUGUCCUGGGCCUGUGAGCAGGGAACACCCCCGAUCUUCUCCUGGUUGUCAGCUGCCCCCACCUCCCUGGGCCCCAGGACUACUCACUCCUCGGUGCUCAUAAUCACCCCACGGCCCCAGGACCACGGCACCAACCUGACCUGUCAGGUGAAGUUCGCUGGAGCUGGUGUGACUACGGAGAGAACCAUCCAGCUCAAUGUCACCUAUGUUCCACAGAACCCAACAACUGGUAUCUUUCCAGGAGAUGGCUCAGGGAAACAAGAGACCAGAGCAGGAGUGGUUCAUGGGGCCGUUGGAGGAGCUGGUAUUACAGCCCUGCUCGCUCUUUGUCUCUGCCUCAUCUUCUUCAUUCCCUCAUUCCAGGCUCAUAACAAUGGCCCCACAGCCUGAGAAAACCAGGCUCAAAGACCCUGGUGUCUCCCAUCAGAGUGAAGACCCACAGGAGGAAAGCAGCCAGGACAGCAGUGGGCAGGAAUGACACCCACCCUACCACAGGGCCAGCCUCCCCGAAACACCAGAAGAAGUCCAAGUUACAUGGCCCCACUGAAACCUCAAGCUAUUCAGGUGCCGCCCCUACUGUGGAGAUGGAUGAGGAGCUGCAUUAUGCUUCCCUCAACUUUCAUGGGAUGAAUCCUUCCAAGGACACCUCCACCGAAUACUCAGAGGUCAGGACCCAGUGAGAAACCCACAAGAGCAUCAGGCUCAGCUAGAAGAUCCACAUCCUCUACAGUUCGGGGACCAAAGGCUGAUUCUUGGAGAUUUAACACCCCACAGGCAAUGGGUUUAUAGACAUUAUGUGAGUUUCCUGCUAUAUUAACAUCAUCUUAGACUUUGCAAGCAGAGAGUCGUGGAAUCAAAUCUGUGCUCUUUCAUUUGCUAAGUGUAUGAUGUCACACAAGCUCCUUAACCUUCCAUGUCUCCAUUUUCUUCUCUGUGAAGCAGGUAUAAGAAGUCCUAUCUCAUAGGGAUGCUGUGAGCAU
rnacentral:sRNA from 1 species